AUUCUGAUCCAGUGGGAAAGGCCAGAAGCCAUAAAGGUAGAUCUGAUUGCAGAAGCGUGUGGCCAGGGUGUACAUCAAGAGGCCGGUGGUUGGUCUUUUGAUGUGGACUUUGUUGGUUAGCCAAUAUCUGAAGGAGAGAGAAAAAAAAAAGUUAGAAAAGGAACAAUAAAGUCUGAGAAGAGGCUCACUUGGACUCGGUCGAAGAGAGAUGGGAGGAAACACAGAGAAGUACAGAGAGCAGGAUGUUAAAUGAGGUGUCCUAGAUGACUUCCGGAAGGAUCACCA